rnacentral:rRNA from 1 species
CUCGAUGAGUAGGGCGGGACACGUGGUAUCCUGUCUGAAUAUGGGGGGCCCAUCCUCCAAGGCUAAAUACUCCUGACUGACCGAUAGUGAACCAGUACCGUGAGGGAAAGGCGAAAAGAACCCCGGCGAGGGGAGUGAAAAAGAACCUGAAACCGUGUACGUACAAGCAGUGGGAGCACGCUUAGGCGUGUGACUGCGUACCUUUUGUAUAAUGGGUCAGCGACUUAUAUUCUGUAGCAAGGUUAACCGAAUAGGGGAGCCGAAGGGAAACCGAGUCUUAACUGGGCGUUAAGUUGCAGGGUAUAGACCCGAAACCCGGUGAUCUAGCCAUGGGCAGGUUGAAGGUUGGGUAACACUAACUGGAGGACCGAACCGACUAAUGUUGAAAAAUUAGCGGAUGACUUGUGGCUGGGGGUGAAAGGCCAAUCAAACCGGGAGAUAGCUGGUUCUCCCCGAAAGCUAUUUAGGUAGCGCCUCGUGAAUUCAUCUCCGGGGGUAGAGCACUGUUUCGGCAAGGGGGUCAUCCCGACUUACCAACCCGAUGCAAACUGCGAAUACCGGAGAAUGUUAUCACGGGAGACACACGGCGGGUGCUAACGUCCGUCGUGAAGAGGGAAACAACCCAGACCGCCAGCUAAGGUCCCAAAGUCAUGGUUAAGUGGGAAACGAUGUGGGAAGGCCCAGACAGCCAGGAUGUUGGCUUAGAAGCAGCCAUCAUUUAAAGAAAGCGUAAUAGCUCACUGGUCGAGUCGGCCUGCGCGGAAGAUGUAACGGGGCUAAACCAUGCACCGAAGCUGCGGCAGCGACGCUUAUGCGUUGUUGGGUAGGGGAGCGUUCUGUAAGCCUGCGAAGGUGUGCUGUGAGGCAUGCUGGAGGUAUCAGAAGUGCGAAUGCUGACAUAAGUAACGAUAAAGCGGGUGAAAAGCCCGCUCGCCGGAAGACCAAGGGUUCCUGUCCAACGUUAAUCGGGGCAGGGUGAGUCGACCCCUAAGGCGAGGCCGAAAGGCGUAGUCGAUGGGAAACAGGUUAAUAUUCCUGUACUUGGUGUUACUGCGAAGGGGGGACGGAGAAGGCUAUGUUGGCCGGGCGACGGUUGUCCCGGUUUAAGCGUGUAGGCUGGUUUUCCAGGCAAAUCCGGAAAAUCAAGGCUGAGGCGUGAUGACGAGGCACUACGGUGCUGAAGCAACAAAUGCCCUGCUUCCAGGAAAAGCCUCUAAGCAUCAGGUAACAUCAAAUCGUACCCCAAACCGACACAGGUGGUCAGGUAGAGAAUACCAAGGCGCUUGAGAGAACUCGGGUGAAGGAACUAGGCAAAAUGGUGCCGUAACUUCGGGAGAAGGCACGCUGAUAUGUAGGUGAAGUCCCUUGCGGAUGGAGCUGAAAUCAGUCGAAGAUACCAGCUGGCUGCAACUGUUUAUUAAAAACACAGCACUGUGCAAACACGAAAGUGGACGUAUACGGUGUGACGCCUGCCCGGUGCCGGAAGGUUAAUUGAUGGGGUCAGCGCAAGCGAAGCUCUUGAUCGAAGCCCCGGUAAACGGCGGCCGUAACUAUAACGGUCCUAAGGUAGCGAAAUUCCUUGUCGGGUAAGUUCCGACCUGCACGAAUGGCGUAAUGAUGGCCAGGCUGUCUCCACCCGAGACUCAGUGAAAUUGAACUCGCUGUGAAGAUGCAGUGUACCCGCGGCAAGACGGAAAGACCCCGUGAACCUUUACUAUAGCUUGACACUGAACAUUGAGCCUUGAUGUGUAGGAUAGGUGGGAGGCUUUGAAGUGUGGACGCCAGUCUGCAUGGAGCCGGCCUUGAAAUACCACCCUUUAAUGUUUGAUGUUCUAACGUGGACCCGUGAUCCGGGUUGCGGACAGUGUCUGGUGGGUAGUUUGACUGGGGCGGUCUCCUCCUAAAGAGUAACGGAGGAGCACGAAGGUUGGCUAAUCCUGGUCGGACAUCAGGAGGUUAGUGCAAUGGCAUAAGCCAGCUUGACUGCGAGCGUGACGGCGCGAGCAGGUGCGAAAGCAGGUCAUAGUGAUCCGGUGGUUCUGAAUGGAAGGGCCAUCGCUCAACGGAUAAAAGGUACUCCGGGGAUAACAGGCUGAUACCGCCCAAGAGUUCAUAUCGACGGCGGUGUUUGGCACCUCGAUGUCGGCUCAUCACAUCCUGGGGCUGAAGUAGGUCCCAAGGGUAUGGCUGUUCGCCAUUUAAAGUGGUACGCGAGCUGGGUUUAGAACGUCGUGAGACAGUUCGGUCCCUAUCUGCCGUGGGCGCUGGAGAACUGAGGGGGGCUGCUCCUAGUACGAGAGGACCGGAGUGGACGCAUCACUGGUGUUCGGGUUGUCAUGCCAAUGGCACUGCCCGGUAGCUAAAUGCGGAAGAGAUAAGUGCUGAAAGCAUCUAAGCACGAAACUUGCCCCGAGAUGAGUUCUCCCUGACCCUUUAAGGGUCCUGAAGGAACGUUGAAGACGACGACGUUGAUAGGCCGGGUGUGUAAGCGCAGCGAUGCGUUGAGCUAACCGGUACUAAUGAACCGUGAG